UACGUAGGGGGCAAGCGUUGUCCGGAUUCAUUGGGCGUAAAGAGCUCGUAGGCGGUUCGGUAAGUCGGGUGUGAAAUCUCCGUGCUCAACACGGAGCGGCCACCUGAUACUGCCGUGACUCGAGUCCGGUAGGGGAGUGUGGAAUUCCCGGUGUAGCGGUGAAAUGCGCAGAUAUCGGGAAGAACACCCGUGGCGAAGGCGGCUCUCUGGGACGGUACUGACGCUGAGACGCGAAAGCGUGGGGAGCGAACAGG
rnacentral:rRNA from 1 species